rnacentral:misc_RNA from 1 species
UCACCCCUCAAGGCCCCCGGGCUUUUGGCGUUGGAGGUCUUGGUCGCGCGCUCGCGACCCCUCCCAAAGACAAUGACGGCGGCUUCGCGGAACCCCCGGUACACUGAGCUCCUUAAUCAGGGCACGUAUCGGAUCUAGGGCGCCCGAGCCACGGUCCUCUCCCCUCGGGGAAACCCAUUUUUCAAGG